rnacentral:rRNA from 1 species
UACGUAGGGGGCAAGCGUUGUCCGGAAUUAUUGGGCGUAAAGCGCGCGCAGGCGGCAUCUUAAGUCUGAUGUUUAAUCCCAAGGCUCAACCUUGGUUCGCAUUGGAAACUGGGAAGCUAGAGUGUAGGAGAGGAAAGUGGAAUUCCACGUGUAGCGGUGAAAUGCGUAGAUAUGUGGAGGAACACCAGUGGCGAAGGCGGCAUCCUGGACCGGUAUUGACGCUGAGGCGCGAAAGCUAGGGGAGCAAACGGG